UCCGCUCGAUGGGUCACUCGGUCGCCUUCAAGCACCUCCCUAUAGAAAGAGGGCAAGCUCGUCGAGGGAGUCGAUGUGAGGUGCGGGGAGGGACAGGUGAGCGCGGUCGCCGUCGGAGGCAGAGGGCGAGGCGAGCGUAGCGGGGCGCGCGCGCCCAUUUAAUUUACCGGUGCCGCCGCGAGGCGAAGGGCGGCAAGGAGAGGAGCGCGCGCCACGGAUGGUGGUGGCGGCGGUGGACGUGCGCCUUCUGCCGCAGUCGGUGGGAGUCCCAGCGGCGCGUCGGGCUUAGGCGGGGGCAGAGACGGGGGCGGAGGUGGAGGCUUCUUGCCGGCCUCAAGAGCGGCGGCCGUCCCAAGCGCGGAGGCCACGGGUUCGCGAAGCGCCAGUUCCUACCGGUCGAGCGGUCGCAGCGGCCGCGCCGGGAGCGGGACGGAAAGGCGGAGCCGUGGCCGGAGAAGCAGGAUCCUAUGAGCCAUAGUGAUCAGAGGCGCCUAUUUUAUGGGAGUCUGGUUAUGAGAGACCUUAAAGAUCCAGAUUUCCAAUUCCUCUGGAGUUUCUAUCUAGUCACGGCAGCUGGUCUUUUUGGAUAACUCUACAUGCUCAAACUUCCGACAGGUAAAACAGCUUUCCACUCUCUCUACCAUAGGCAGAACCUGGAACUACAAAAUAAAAUGGGGACAGGAGUUUUCCCCGGUUGUAAAGCAGGGUUCCAAAAUCUCUACCCACCCUUUUUUGUCAAGGGAAUGUACCACCUAGGUUUGUGGCCUCAACGGUACAUACUUAGUCUACGGUAAUAUUUUAUGGAACGCCUGUGUAUGCCACUACCUUGACAGGGCUAAUACGAUAGUGAACCAGAUAAAUGCUGUUAUUGACGUCCCGAACGAUACUAAACCGCACAUACCUUCCCUAGAAGGAUGUGACAAAGUUUCGAAGGUGGGGUCGGCUAUCUCUAGACCCGUAUGCUCCCUAGAGGAAAGACAUUUAAUCGUGCUCUCCGGGAACAACUUAACCUCAACGGUGUGAACGAUGUGUCGACACGAGCACCGUCGGGGUUCGCUGUCCUUUAAAAGUUCUUUGUACCGUAAAAGGUCCGCGGAAUAUAACUCCUAGGAUUGUGCCCCCACUUCUACAAGCUUUCGCGACUCUAGUAUCUCAUGGAUUCCCGUUGUAUAAGGGACAUAGGAGUCAUGGUUUUAGAGACUUCACAGCUAUAUAUCAUACUCAAAUCUUAUUUAAGAAAUGUUAUUUGGCGACUCAGCGUUUACGUUACAUUGUCAACAUAAGUAGGUGAACGAUAUCUACCGCUGAACCCCAAUAUACCAUCUCUUCCUUCUUUGCCCGGUUCAUAAGAGCUCAUGGCAGUUAACAGUGGGAACUCUAAAAAAUACCACCACGCUUUGGUACACCUCUACUUUAAAACAUCGUACCCCUUGUACAACCUAAAUACUACGUUUCCUUCUGUAUACAUUACACAUUUUAGUAUGUAUACGUUUAUUCCAUCAUAAGGGAGGCAAAAUUUAUAACAAAUAUUUAUAUUCUGGAAAGUCUCUAAAGUUAUGUUUGAUGUAUAUCUACAUAUAUCUACGUAAAAUCUCACAUCUAAGUGUGUAAAAAACGAAGCAUACAUCAGAUAUAACCUUAGAGAUUUUCCAGAAUAUAAAUCCUUGCUUCCCUCAUCUUUAAUCUUUAUGAAUAAAGAAACGUCUCUCUUUGAUCUUUAUGAAGAAAACAUCUCUUUGAUCUUUAUGAAGAAAACAUCUCUUUGAUCUUUAUGAAACUUCUCUACU
rnacentral:rRNA from 1 species